rnacentral:rRNA from 1 species
UACGUAGGUGGCAAGCGUUGUCCGGAUUUACUGGGCGUAAAGAGCGCGCAGGCGGUCGUUCAAGUCGCGUGUGAAAGCCCCCGGCUCAACUGGGGAGGGUCACGCGAUACUGAUCGACUCGAAGGCAGGAGAGGGUAGUGGAAUUCCCGGUGUAGUGGUGAAAUUCGUAGAUAUUGGGAGGAACACCGGUGGCGAAGGCGGCCACCUGGACGGUAACUGACGCUAAGACGCGAAAGCGUGGGGAGCAAACAGG